rnacentral:rRNA from 1 species
CAGCCGCCGCGGGAAUACGGAGGGUGCGAGCGUUAAUCGGAAUAACUGGGCGUAAAGGGCACGCAGGCGGUGACUUAAGUGAGGUGUGAAAGCCCCGGGCUUAACCUGGGAAUUGCAUUUCAUACUGGGUCGCUAGAGUACUUUAGGGAGGGGUAGAAUUCCACGUGUAGCAGUGAAAUGCGUAGAGAUGUGGAGGAAUACCGAUGGCGAAGGCAGCCCCCUGGGCCAAUACUGACGCUCAUGCACGAAAGCGUGGGGAGCAAACAGGAUUAGAUACCCCGGUAGUCCCUGUCUCUUAUAA